AGCUCAGUGGUAGAGUGUCUCGUUUACACCGAGAGGGUCGGCGGUUCGAACUCGUCA
rnacentral:tRNA from 1 species